ACAAGCCUGAGAAACGGCUAGUAGGACUAAGGUCUGCAGCAGGCGCGAAACUUACACAAUGCUAGAUUACCUUUUUAGCGAUGUAGUGAAGAAAAAUAACGAUGUACUUCCAUUUAAACAUGGUAGUACAAUUGGAAUGAGACGACUAUAAACCAGUUAGUCGAGUAACAAAUGGAGGGCAAGUCUGGUGCCAGCAGCCGCGGUAAUUCCAGCUCCAUUAGCAUACAUUAAAGUUGUUGCGGUUAAAAAGCUCGUAGUUGAAUUUUGGGCGCGUUCCAUUGGGCUGGGGCCGUUAAGGUCGCUAGAUACCCGAAAGGGUCUAGUUCGGCUGGUCUCCAUUGUCCGUUGGGAACGCGCUGUUUCGUCACUUAAUCGAGUGCGAAGCGUGCUGGUACAGGUUGCAUACUUCGGUAUGCUCUGUUUCAGCGUGUUUACCUUGAGAAAAUUAGAGUGCUCACAGCAGGCAGUUGGGGUGUAAAAGCUCCUUUAUGCUUGAAUAAUGUUGCAUGGAAUAAUAGAAUACGGCCUCGGUUCUAUUCUGUUGGUCUUAUAGAACAACAAACAAGUUGAUUGGGGCGACCAAAAGUUGCUAGUUGUGCGUGUUUGGUACACUUCUUGAAGUAAGCGUAUCUCUCUACUACCUGUUGCCUGGGGCCUUAAAAUCUCAGUGCCUAGUAGUGAGCUGAUAUUGCCCUUCUUAGGUUGCCAUCCAUUUAAAGCGCCUACUAGUUAGCUAGCUCUUAAAUCAACUGAGGCAAUGGUUAAAAGAAAUAGUCGCGGCGGCAUCAGUACUGCAUCGUGAGAG
rnacentral:rRNA from 1 species